AUGCAAGUCGAGCGACGGGCCCCCCUUCGGGGGGGAGACCGAGCGGCGAAAGGGUGAGUAAUAUAUAGGCAACUUACCCCCGGGACGGGGAUAGCGUCGGGAAACCGGCGGUAAUACCCGAUAGAACACAUUGAUUGCAUGAUGUUUGUGUUAAAGGUGGGGAUCUUCGGACCUUCCGCCUGGGGAGAGGCCUAUGUCCUAUUAGUUUGUUGGUGGGGUAACGGCCCACCAAGGCGAUGAUGGGUAGCCGGGCUGAGAGGUUGGCCGGUCACACUGGGACUGAGACACUGCCCAGACUUCUACGGAAGGCUGCAGUCGAGAAUCAUUCGCAAUGGGCGAAAGCCUGACGAUGCGACGCCGCGUGGAUGAUGAAGGCCCUCGGGUUGUAAAGUCCUGUCAGGUGUUAGGAAAGGCGGCGGGAGUAAUAAGUCCGCCGUUUGACAAAGGCACCAGAGGAAGCCACGGCUAACUUCGUGCCAGCAGCCGCGGUAACACGAAGGUGGCAAGCGUUGUUCGGAAUUAUUGGGCAUAAAGGGCACGUAGGCGGAGAGGUAAGUUGGUGGUGAAAGCCCCCGGCUCAACCGGGGAAUUGCCUCCAAAACUGCCUUUCUGGAGUGCAGGAGGGGAGAGUGGAACUCUUGGUGGAGCGGUGAAAUGCGUUGAUAUCAAGGGGAACGCCGGCGGCGAAAGCGACUCUCUGGCCUGCUACUGACGCUGAUGUGCGAAAGCUAGGGGAGCAAACGGGAUUAGAUACCCCGGUAGUCCUAGCCGUAAACGAUGGGCACUAAGUAGAGGGGUUUU
rnacentral:rRNA from 1 species